UACAGAGGGUGCAAGCGUUGUUCGGAAUCACUGGGCGUAAAGGGCGCGUAGGCGGCGCGGAUAGUCGGCGGUGAAAGCCCGGAGCUCAACUCCGGGUCGGCCGUCGAUACUUCCGGGCUUGAGCACUGUAGAGGCAGAUGGAAUUCCGGGUGUAGCGGUGGAAUGCGUAGAGAUCCGGAAGAACACCGGUGGCGAAGGCGGGUCUCUGGGCCAUAACUGACGCUGAGGAGCGAAAGCGUGGGGAGCGAACAGG
rnacentral:rRNA from 1 species